GAUGAACGCUGGCGGCGUGCCUAAUACAUGCAAGUCGAACGAGGUGCUUUUGUAGCAAUACGAGAGUAUCCUAGUGGCGAACGGGUGAGUAACGCGUUGGUGACCUACCCCAAAGUGUGGGAUAACAGUCCGAAAGGACUGCUAAUACCGCAUGUGGUUAUUGGAUUUAGAAACUAGUAACUAAAGGAGCAAUUCGCUUUGGGAGGGACCUGCGUCCCAUCAGCUAGUUGGUGAGGUAAUGGCUCACCAAGGCGACGACGGGUAGGGGACCUGAGAGGGUGACCCCCCACAAUGGAACUGAAACACGGUCCAUACACCUACGGGAGGCAG
rnacentral:rRNA from 1 species